rnacentral:rRNA from 1 species
GGGAGCUAGCGUUGUUCGGAAUUACUGGGCGUAAAGCGCGCGUAGGUGGUUUGUUAAGUUGGAUGUGAAAGCCCCGGGCUCAACCUGGGAACUGCAUCUGAUACUGGCAAGCUUGAGUCUCGUAGAGGGGGGUAGAAUUCCAGGUGUAGCGGUGAAAUGCGUAGAGAUCUGGAGGAAUACCGGUGGCGAAGGCGGCCCCCUGGACGAAGACUGACGCUCAGGUGCGAAAGUGUCGGGAGCAAACAGGAUUAGAGACCCUGGUA